AUGUUUGAUGUUUUGCAUCUAUUCUAUAUGAAUUAUCGCACUAUAGCCUCUGGUGGUGUUAUUCAUGUGCGGAUCCAGGAUAGCUAUUGGUAUCAAGCUUCAAUUUUCAUGUCUGGUAUGACCUUUCUGUCAUCAUCCAUUUUAGGAGUUGCUCGUUGUGCGAUGCUGGAGCCUUCUUCAGUUAGUGUUGAUUUUUUUGGGUUAUUAGUUAUUGUAACUACUUUGUAG